AGAUUACUUCCUCCUUCUUGGCCCCAGAUGCACUUGGUUGCACGCUCUGGUUCCCAAACCCCCGGCCGCUGGCUUAUGCAAAUCACUUAGGUACAUGCAAAAGUAUCCCUUCUCCCGGAGCGCCAUUGGCCCGGGGAGGUCUCGAGCUCAUUACUAUGCAGAGAGGAGAGCCGCCAUUGGCCAAGAGGAGGACCAGAGGGGCGUGUUUCUCGGGCAAAUUGGAUCUCCUAAAUUGGAUGACCUGGCUAAUGUUAAAACAUACUUCGUGAUCUGUAGAACGUAAGAGAAAAUUUAGAAAAUGUUUGAUAUGAAAGAGAAAAUGAAGGAUGUUGCGAUAAUAGGGAAAAACUUUAUAGUAAUUCUACCAAUUUGCCCCUUUUAUUCUAAAAUAACACAAACUUGUCAAGCUUUUCAACAUUUUUUGAAUUUUUUUUUUUUUUUUUUGAGAUGGAGUUUCACUCUGUUGCCCAGGCUGGAGUGCAGUGACAUGAUCUUGGCUCACUGCAACCUCCACCUCCUGGGUUCAAGCAAUUCUCCUGUCUCAGCCUCCCAAGUAGCUGGGAUUACAGGCCUGCACUACCAUGCCUGGCUAAUUUUGUAUUUUUGGUAGAGACGGGGUUUCACCAUGUUGGCCAGACUGGUCUCGAACUCCUGACCUCAGGUGAUCCACCCCGCCUCGGCCUCCCAAAGUGCUGGAAUUACAGGCAUGAGCCACUGCACCCAGCUGGAUUUUGUUUUUCAAGGACUAUUUACCACAUACCUACUUUUCAAAAUGUACUCCGCUAGGUACUGAAGAGUUUUGACUGAUGCAGGGCUGUCUGCAUGUAAAUCACCCUGGGAAGGUUUGUAAUACAGAAGUUCCAAGAUUCCAUCUCCAUUGAUUCUAUUAUAGAAGGUCUCUGUGGGUCCCUGAAUUCCCAGUGUUUAAAAAGUUCCUGAUUCUGAUGUAGGCCUCCACCACUAACCAAGACGUAUGACUUUUUGCUACAAGAUAAGGCAAGUGUGGGUCCUCUGAGAAGCAGACAUCAAUAUGGGAUUACUCAUGCAAGAGAUUUGUUAGGGGAAGUGAUUGUGAAGGGAAAAUGGGGAGGGAGCUAAGGGCGUCUGAGAAACCAUCAGAUUGAGAUGUGGGUCUGGCCCCAGGUGAGGAGGUGAAGGAAGGAAAAGAGUCUUAGAUUUCAGUGCAGUUCUAUAAAAUUUCAGCAAAGCCACAAAAAUUAUCUGCCAGAGUCUCACGUCUCCCAGGAACAGGACUGCCUUAGUAUCUCAGCCAUGCUCAGUCAUGGGCUGGGACCAGCCCAUAGGAAGUGUGGCCUUGGCACAAACAGGGUGAAGGAUUUUACCUUAGGACUGUUAGUCAAUUAGUGUCCCCACAGUGAGAGGUCUGACAGGUGCCUUUCACUGCAGCCCCAGGAUAUAAGGUACGACAUGGAGCUCUCCUACAAGCAGUUUACAAUUCAACUUUCAGAAUGUAGAAACACAGGGUUAGAAAAGACAUUAACGCUAGUUUAAUUACCUUCCUAAGGCUUAAGAAGGCUGAACAGCAUCCCUGCUAUUCUUGGAUACCUUAGAGUUGGCAUAUUCAUACCUCCAUGGGGAGUAGUCCAUCUUUGGGCACUUCUGGCUGUUAGAAAGUUGUAUUACGUUGUGACAAACUGUUUCUUCUUGAUGCUUUAAAAAUUAGAAAUAAGGCUGGGUGUGGUGGCUUACGCCUGUAAUCCCAGCACUUUGAGAAGCUGAGGCGGGAGGAUUGCUUGAGCUCAGGAGUUCAAGACCAGCUUGGGCAACAGCGAGACCUCAUCUCUACUUAAAAAAACAAACAAACAAACAAACAAACAAACAAAAAAACACAUAGCUCUCUGGGCUUAGACUUAGUUUGCGGUGACAUGGCCAAAUGCACCAAGAAAGUCAGAAUCAUCAGUAAAUAUGGGACCCGCUAUGGGGCCUCCCUCCGGAAAAUGGUGAAGAAGAAUUGAAAUCACCCAGCACACCAAGUACAUUUGCUCUUUCUGUGGCAAAACCAAGAUGAAGAGAUGAGCUACGGGGAUCUGGCACUGUGGUUUCUGCAUGAAGACAGUGGCUGGCAGUGCCUGGACCUACAAUACCACUUCUGCUG
rnacentral:lncRNA from 1 species